rnacentral:rRNA from 1 species
GCUGGCAGCAUGCUUUACACAUGCAAGUCGAACGGCAGCAUAGAGAGCUUGCUCUCUGAUGGCGAGUGGCGAACGGGUGAGUAAUACAUCGGAACAUGCUUUAAUGGGGGAUAGCUCGGCGAAAGCCGGAUUAAUACCGCAUAGUCUCUUCGGAGUAAAUGGGGGACCCUCGGGCCUCAUGCUUGAUGAGUGGCCGAUGUCGGAUUAGCUUGUUGGUGAGGUAAUGGCUCACCAAGGCUUCGAUCCGUAACUGGUCUGAGAGGAUGAUCAGUCACACUGGAACUGAGACACGGUCCAGACUCCUACGGGAGGCAGCAGUGGGGAAUUUUGGACAAUGGGGGAAACCCUGAUCCAGCGAUGCUGCGUGCGGGAAGAAGGCCUUAGGGUUGUAAACCGCUUUCAGCUAGGAAGAAAAGGUUAUAGUUAAUAUCUAUAAUUUAUGACGGUACUAGCAGAAGAAGCACCGGCUAACUACGUG